CUUGUUUAAAGAUAUUAUAGACAAAUUUUCACGUUCCAACGUAACUUAUAGCAGAGAUUGAUUUACCAAAGUAGUAAGGUAGAAAUACAUUUCCUCAAGGGAAUAGCACAACGGAUAAGUGGUCGUGUUACGUUUAUGCUAAAGUUUCAACGACCGAAGUCUUCUCUGUUAAAAAGAAAAUUGACAAUUGAAAACGAAAUUGAAGAGGGUUCAAGGCGUGAUUGGAGAAAUACAAAUAAUUUUCUUUAUGAUACAACAAGCUAAGAAUAUACUAUAAUUUUUUUUAUAUCUAUUUUGUUGGAAAAACUUCAAUCUAUAGGCAACCAUUAUGAGUUCUUCAAAAAGAUGUGUUCUUUUAUAAAUAGACGUAUAUAUUUAUUUAAAAUAAAAUAGAUUUAAUUGUAAAAAUAAAUAAAAUUAAAAUAUUUAUUUUAGGUCCAAGUCUUUUAUAUGUAUUUGCACACAUAAAAGUAUAUGUUGUAAAUUAAACACAUAAAAGGAUGAUGACUUAAAAGACACACAAAAUGACCUUGCACUACAUCAGUAGGACAAGCCCACUGUUCCAACAUAAUAACAAACUGUCUUUCAUUCUCUUCUCCUUGUUAAUUAUGCUAGGAAAAAGAAGAGAGAGCAUAGAAACUACAUGAUUGACCUGACUAAAGAGCUCAGUUAAGAUUACAUAAUAAGCUAAACAACAACUAUCCAGUAUAGUCCCCACAAAGUGGGGUCUGGGGAGAGGGUAAUAUGUAGACUGACCUCACUCCUACCCAAAAGGGCAAAGAGGCUGUUUCCAAUCGACCCUCGGCUCAGUGAAGGAGAGGAAAGAUUACAUAAUAAGCUAUGGUACAUAUUUUAAGUUAAAGCUAACAACCUCAAAUAAACUAGCUAACUUAAUUAAUAAGCCAAGGCAAUUGAUUUUCUCUCAGGAAUAUGCAAUUGAGUGACUUGAUCAUAAUUACUGGUGAAAACUCUCUCCUCAGUAGCAGAAAUUGGAUUGACCUGAACAACAUCAGAAUGCUGAUAAUAUCUGUAAACACAAGCUUGUUUUGGUCCUUGAUCUGCUACAGCAACCCUUUGUGGACUAGAACAAGGCCUUCGCUUUCUACCUUCCAAAAAGGAAAGUCCAAUCUCUCUGCUUAAACUCCUUACGAAUUCAACUUGAGGUGCCAUCUAUUAAUUCUUGACUGAAUAGUUAUUAACUUAGUUGCUUUCUGUUGUAGAUUGAAUUGAUCAGAAACCCUUUAUAUAGGCAUUAAAAAGUAAUACUGUUGAAAAGUUAUUGUAAGAAUCUAAUAUUAGGGCAUUUACGCUCAACUUGUGAUUCUUUUAAGAUUU
rnacentral:lncRNA from 1 species